rnacentral:rRNA from 1 species
UGGGGAAUAUUGGACAAUGGGGGAAACCCUGAUCCAGCCAUGCCGCGUGUGUGAAGAAGGCCUUAUGGUUGUAAAGCACUUUAAGCGAGGAGGAGGCUACUGAGACUAAUACUCUUGGAUAGUGGACGUUACUCGCAGAAUAAGCACCGGCUAACUCUGUGCCAGCAGCCGCGGUAAUACAGAGGGUGCGAGCGUUAAUCGGAUUUACUGGGCGUAAAGCGUGCGUAGGCGGCUUUUUAAGUCGGAUGUGAAAUCCCCGAGCUUAACUUGGGAAUUGCAUUCGAUACUGGGAAGCUAGAGUAUGGGAGAGGAUGGUAGAAUUCCAGGUGUAGCGGUGAAAUGCGUAGAGAUCUGGAGGAAUACCGAUGGCGAAGGCAGCCAUCUGGCCUAAUACUGACGCUGAGGUACGAAAGCAUGGGGAGCAAACAGGAUUAGAUACCC